UAACCUGUGCUAGGGAAGCUCAUUCGAGAACACCCAAUUGGGCUGUCUCCUGAGGAACCAGAGGAUGGAGACUCUCCUGCAAGUACUCAUAGGGAUAUUAGAGUUGCAGGCCGCCUGGGUCAGUAGUCAAGAACUAGAGCAGAGUCCACAGUCCCUGACUGUCCAAGAGGGAGAAGAUUUCACCAUAAACUGCAGCUCAUCAGAGCCUGUGUAUGCCCUACACUGGUACAGACAAAAGAAGAGCAAAGGUCUAAUCUCCUUGAUGAUAUUGUGGAAAAAUGGGGAAGAAAAGAAUCAUGAAGAAACCACUGCCACAUUGGAUAAGAAAAAACAGCAGAGUUCUCUGCAUAUCAGAGCCUCCCAGCCCAGCCACUCAGGCACCUACCUGUGUGCAGCAGAUGCACUGUGAUCU